CUCAACAGUUUUGAGUAAACUCUUCUAUUUAAAUUAUUAUUUUUAAGUUUACUGAGUGACGUAAAGUGACGUCACCUCGUUGCUCUAACCGACGUUCAGAAGAAUCCAUUCAACAUGGCGGAGACUCGCAAGCGACCGGAGCAAACUUAAUGGAACAACUUGUUUGUGCUGAGUUUCACCAUAUCAGAGAAAGUGGCACACACCAGCAAGAUUUCACAGAUGCUGCAUGACAUUCUAAAUGUUUGAUCUUCAGUGUACGUGUGUGAAGAGAACUACUCUUCAGGACAUGAAAUGAGGAAUUGGGCGAGCCAGACAUCACUGACACAAACACCUCUCCUGCUGAUUUUGUUAUCAUGGACAACGAAACCACUACAAGUCCUGCAAGCACUGCAGUUGUGAUGAGAUGAUCUUCCAGUGUUUGACAUUCAGAAAUACACAGUUCAUGCGGUUUAAAAAAGGCUGAAUAAAAAAUCCUCAAUUGUAUAGCCA